GUGAGCGAAGAAGCCUUUCGGGUCGAAAAGCUCUGUCUUCAAGGAAGAUAAGGCCGUUUCUUGAGGAGAAAGCCCGGCCAAAUUCGUGCCCGCCGGCCCGGUUAAUCGUUAGGGGCAAACGUUUUUCGGAAUUUCUGGGGGUAAAGCGGUGGCUGGGGGGUUUCUUAAUUCAGAGGUGAAAGGCUCCGGUUCACCGGUAGUAAGCCUUUGAAACUGGGGAACUUGAGUGCAGGAGAGGAGAGUGGAAUUCCUAGUGUAGCGGUGAAAUGCGUAGAUAUUAGGAGGAACA
rnacentral:rRNA from 1 species